AGUAAAGUACCCUGGAGAAGGGAAAUAAAAGGGAUAGCAGGAAUGUGUAAAGGUGGAGAGAUCAGUCAGAACAGGCCAUAGAAUAAUUAGCAGUAAAGUACCCUGGAGAAGGGAAAUAAAAGGGAUAGCAGGAAUGUGUAAAGGUGGAGAGAUCAGUCAGAACAGGCCAUAGAAUAAUUAGCAGUAAAGUACCCUGGAGAAGAGAAAUAAAAGGGAUAGCAGGAAUGUGUAAAGUACCCUGGAGAAGAGAAAUAAAAGGGAUAGCAGGAAUGUGUAAAGGUGGAGAGAUCAGUCAGAACAGGCCAUAGAAUAAUUAGCAGUAAAGUACCCUGGAGAAGAGAAAUAAAAGGGAUAGCAGGAAUGUGUAAAGUACCCUGGAGAAGGGAAAUAAAAGGGAUAGCAGGAAUGUGUAAAGGUGGAGAGAUCAGUCAGAACAGGCCAUAGAAUAAUUAGCAGUAAAGUACCCUGGAGAAGAGAAAUAAAAGGGAUAGCAGGAAUGUGUAAAGGUGGAGAGAUCAGUCAGAACAGGCCAUAGAAUAAUUAGCAGUAAAGUACCCUGGAGAAGAGAAAUAAAAGGGAUAGCAGGAAUGUGUAAAGUACCCUGGAGAAGGGAAAUAAAAGGGAUAGCAGGAAUGUGUAAAGUACCCUGGAGAAGAGAAAUAAAAGGGAUAGCAGGAAUGUGUAAAGUACCCUGGAGAAGAGAAAUAAAAGGGAUAGCAGGAAUGUGUAAAGUACCCUGGAGAAGAGAAAUAAAAGGGAUAGCAGGAAUGUGUAAAGGUGGAGAGAUCAGUCAGAACAGGCCAUAGAAUAAUUAGCAGUAAAGUACCCUGGAGAAGAGAAAUAAAAGGGAUAGCAGGAAUGUGUAAAGGUGGAGAGAUCAGUCAGAACAGGCCAUAGAAUAAUUAGCAGUAAAGUACCCUGGAGAAGGGAAAUAAAAGGGAUAGCAGGAAUGUGUAAAGGUGGAGAGAUCAGUCAGAACAGGCCAUAGAAUAAUUAGCAGUAAAGUACCCUGGAGAAGAGAAAUAAAAGGGAUAGCAGGAAUGUGUAAAGUACCCUGGAGAAGAGAAAUAAAAGGGAUAGCAGGAAUGUGUAAAGUACCCUGGAGAAGGGAAAUAAAAGGGAUAGCAGGAAUGUGUAAAGGUGGAGAGAUCAGUCAGAACAGGCCAUAGAAUAAUUAGCAGUAAAGUACCCUGGAGAAGAGAAAUAAAAGGGAUAGCAGGAAUGUGUAAAGUACCCUGGAGAAGGGAAAUAAAAGGGAUAGCAGGAAUGUGUAAAGGUGGAGAGAUCAGUCAGAACAGGCCAUAGAAUAAUUAGCAGUAAAGUACCCUGGAGAAGAGAAAUAAAAGGGAUAGCAGGAAUGUGUAAAGGUGGAGAGAUCAGUCAGAACAGGCCAUAGAAUAAUUAGCAGUAAAGUACCCUGGAGAAGGGAAA